AAUAAACAAAUUAAAAAAAAAAGAAAGAAAGAAGCUGGACAUAGACAGCCACAUAAGAUUCCAUUCCAUUCCAUUUAGCCCGUUGCCUGCGACGUACUCCAAGCCUGCUGGAUGCCACAAUGACUAUGUCUGCAUGAUUGCGUAGAGCUUAAAAAAGAGAACAGCACGUUUCUUGCACUGUGUUCACUUAUGAAAAGGGAAGAAGACGGCUGUCAGUUUUCCAGGUCUUUCGCUAAAGCGUCACGGAUGAACUGUAAGGCCCUCCAUGCUCACUACCACGGAAGGAGACGACAUGGUGCUUGGGAGACCUGGGUGAGUUUUCGAUGUUUCAGCCUAGCCAAGCCCACCGAGAUGGCAGCACCAGGGGGUACUAGUGAGGCCAGCCUGGUGAGCAAGUGCAGGUGGAGGUUAUGAAGGAAGACAGGCCAGCUGGUGACACAGAAGAAGGGGUGGACAGAAUUACAGCAAGGCUGUGUCACUGCCAGCAGCUGGUCCACCAUACUAAUUCUGCUUUAAGCUUCCAAAGUCAUCAUAAAAGACCAAAAAAAAAAAAAGUCACUUUCUUUGAACUCUUCAGGUUCUUCAACUACCAAACAGCAACCCUUCAACUCAUGGCAUAUUACUUUAAGGUAAAGUCUCUUCAGGUUCCACUAGAGGGUAUCAAGCCUUUUUCAUUUUACUUAGAUAAUAACUAACGCAGCAGGACAGAAGGCCCAUCAGCAGGUGCUCUGGAUACGUUCCACAUCUGACUGCCCGGAGCCCCGACUGCCACUUGACUCAGCCUCUGAGACGAUCAGAAAAGAGUCUGAUGAGCAAACUCAAGAGUUAGCCGGAUGAGGGGAAAGCAUUUCAGGGCAUGCAGUGUCCACGCUGCUUACUAUGCAUAGAGGAACAGAGGAGGCUGCAAGGAGAACUGAGAUUUGAGCCCUGCCCGCAAGGAGCCUACACUGGCUACAGGAGCAGGUACGGGCCAUGUCCUCAUCCCAGGAGCAGGAAGAGACUUAACACUAGUUUUUUUUUCCUUCCAAAUCUUUGUUGCUUGAAUAUUCCCCAUGUACCCUCCAUUUAUUUACUAAGCUCCCACACCUUUAGUAGAUUUAAAGGUUCCUGCAGGUGGCUAUCAGUCUGGUAAAUGAAAUACUCCUUUUAAUCAGGCUGAUAGAAAAGUUCUGGAUUCUCACCUGAAGGCAGCAGCUUUCGGUGUGGAAGCUAACACAGUGUUAGCCAGUUAACCCAUGCUGUCUAAUCAGUUAAAUCAAAGGGGGCCAGGAAAUGCCAAGGUGAAAUGUUUGCCGAGAAAUUUUAAUCUGUGGCUUAACAGAGUAACAGAAUCUAAGUCUUAAUAAAGCUGUCUUCUAAAACCGAGAAACUUAAUCUAAAAGCUGACGUUUAUGAUGACCACCUACCAGGAAUCUAAGGUCAAACAAGUUUCAAAAGA